UGGCCACAGGAUCCUGCCCCUCCCUGCAGAGCUCUCAGGCAACCCUGGUGUCACAGCUCAGUCACUGCCCCAGCACACCUGCAAGAGGAACAUUUCCAGAGGCUCUGCUUUCCCUGAGGAAAGGCUGGGCUGCCUCCUCUGGGGUUCCGGGGGCUUGGAGGGAAUGGUUGUUCUGUACCAGCUAAAGGGGAGGAUGAUAAUAAAAUAAUAAGAAUAAAAGUAAGAAUCGAACCAUAAUGUGGGGAAAGAGGAGGCAUUAGGAAUAGAGGUGUUAAGACCAGGUCCUAAGAAUGGAAGGGCUCAGGAUGGCCAGCAAAGUUGGAAAGAGCCUGGAAUGCCAUGAAGAAUUGAUUGAUGACUUUUCAAAAGCCAAAAAAUAAAAAGUACAAGCCCAAGCCCUGAAAGACCAAAACCAAGAGCCCUUCCACCACCAGGACCCUGGUUAGUUUGGAGGAGGUGGUUAUGGUGCUGAUGGCCGUACCUGUGCUGGGAGCUCU